rnacentral:misc_RNA from 1 species
ACGAGACACAACAAAUUCGGAGACGUAUGUCAACGAUAAGAACAGAUGAGUCCAGGGAAACUUCGUAACUAGAUAAUAUAUUCCACAAUACAACUUAAUAUGGCUGCUUUGUCACUGAAUUUCCUGAGUAGGUCUCUACAGAGAUUGAGUUUGCGUCAGAUGUCCUCUCUUCCACAAGCUACACUUGGAUCUAUCAAUUCCUCAAGAUUUUGUGUGAGUCCUGGAAAAGUUUCAGAUGUCCAAAAGAAUGGCAAACCUUUAUCAAAAAGGGAGGACAUUAUCUGCCCAACAAAUUCUCUCACUUGUGUCAUACUAGACGUGUCCAUUUCAAAUUCCAUAUCAUGUCCUACUUAUCAUAACACACAGAUUGAUCUAUUACUGCCAAAUCCACUGAUAGAAUACACCGAAAAAGAAGCUCCCUCUUUACACGAUUUACCAACAAAAGAGGCAGUGGAUAAACUUCGACGACAGAGGAGCCGUAUGAAUCAACACAAGAAACGGCGUUAUCGUGACGACAACUUGGUCUUAAUUCGAGAGCACAAACAGAGACAAAAAGAAAAAAGAGCUAAAAAAGAUUGGGCUGUUAUUGACAAAUUUCGUAAUUAUUCCACUAACUUUGAUGCUGAUGAAAAAGUGAUGCGAGAUUUGGAGACCGCAAGAAGGGGAGGUUUUUAUGUAGAGUGUUACGGGCCAAACAGAGAGGACAGGAAAGGGCUGCCAGACAAGAGCACCGACAAGUCAUUGGAUAUAUUGUAGAUACAGACUAAGCACUGUAGAGCCAACAUGUUAUAAUGAUUUGAGUCAGUUUAUUAAAAUAAAAAGAGUGUGUAGCUCUUUGUU